AAAAACAAAGUCAGCUAUUCCGGGAGGGGAAGAGGAGACGAGGAAGAGGAAGAAAAAGUGCGAGCAGCAGCCUUCGCCGGGAUGAAUGGGAGGCGGGGAGCGCGCUCGGCUCGCACCGUGUGUGCCAGCGUGUGAUAGUGCUGCCGAAAACCCAGCCUGCUCUGAUUGGUCAGCUGACGCACGCCUGAGCCAACACCGCCAACACCGCCAGAACCGUUAGUGUGAUGUCGCAGAGUUAAAAGCGAGACUGCUGACGAGGCGUUUCAGGAGCAGCGAGAGAGGAGCUCCUGUUCACGCCGACAUUGGCCUUUUUUUUUUUUCCAUUUUCAAAACCUUUCACAUGCACGAGAACCUCUAUAAAACACUGAAGGAAAUCCAAGGAAAUGCAUUCUCGCUCUGCUGACCUGAAGUAAUGUGUUUGUGGUAAAGAAAACAAAAAAAAAAUACUGA